rnacentral:rRNA from 1 species
CACGUAGGGUGCGAGCGUUGUCCGGAAUUAUUGGGCGUAAAGGGUGCGUAGGCGGCGCGGUAAGUCGGGUGUGAAAUCUCGGAGCUUAACUCCGAAACUGCAUUCGAUACUGCCGUGCUUGAGGACUGGAGAGGAGACUGGAAUUUACGGUGUAGCGGUGAAAUGCGUAGAUAUCGUAAGGAAGACCAGUGGCGAAGGCGGGUCUCUGGACAGUUCCUGACGCUGAGGCACGAAGGUCAGGGGAGCAAACGGG